UAAUUAUGGAGCUAAUAUUUAUUUAUAUUGUAGGAAAUAUGAAUACAUAAAACAAAAGCCACAUAAAAAUUAAAACAAAUCACCAUUAAAACUUAUAUAUUAAUCAAGGAAAUCACACUAAAUCAAAAAAAUCACAGUUAAAACUUAUAUACAUUCAUCUAUCUAUUCCAUUGAAGACAGCCAACAUAUGAAACUAAAACGUCUUCCAACUCAUCGAUGACGUCCGAUCUUCUUGUUUAAUCUGCCACUAAAAUUACAAAUGAAAAUUAUACCUUCAGAGCAUGAUCUUAUGUCACCGUUGAGACAUAGACCUUAUGAAACACUUAAUCAAGGGAAUUACACUUGUUGAAAUAGCAAAAAUAUUGUUAACAGAUCCAUGAAAUCCAAUAGGAUAUUUCAAGGGAACAUAAAUCAACCAAAACGAUUUGUGCAGCAUCAUAACUCCAACAGAUGCAGUGAUGCUACAUCUAGUUGUUGCUCUGAUAUUCAUAGAUUGAAACAUAAGGAUUAGUUAUGGCUACAUGGAAGUUAAAGGAUUGGAUUGAGUAGGGUUGAGGAAGGAACGUGAAUAUUUUUGCAGCAGCGGCUAAUGAAAGGGGUUGCAGUUCUUAGCCUAUGUGAGAAGUGAGGCUAUAUAUAUAUAGGAGUGAAUUAGGGUUGCAGUUGGCAAACCCUAAUAUAUUUGUGGAGC
rnacentral:lncRNA from 1 species